AUGCUCGAUUUUCAUGCCUUAUUAUCUCCAAACUUAAACAAAUCAGCAAAGCAAAGCAUUGAGGAAACUAACCGGGAUCCGUCCCAAUCCAAACUGUUGUGGGAGCAGAUGGGGGACGUGGCCAAGGACCUGGCCGCCGGCACGGUGGGCGGCGCGGCGCAGCUGGUCGUCGGCCACCCGUUCGACACCAUCAAGGUGAAGCUGCAGAGCCAGCCCACGCCGCCGCCCGGCCAGCCGCCCAAGUUCGCCGGCGCCAUGGACGCCGUCAAGCAGACCAUCUCGGCCGAGGGCCCCCGGGGCCUCUACAAGGGCAUGGGCGCCCCGCUCGCCACCGUCGCCGCCUUCAACGCCGUGCUCUUCACCGUCCGGGGCCAGAUGGAGGCCCUGCUGCGCUCCGAGCCCGGCGCCGCGCUCACCGUCGGCCAGCAGGUCGUCGCCGGCGCUGGGGCCGGCGUCGCCGUCUCCUUCCUCGCCUGCCCCACCGAGCUCAUCAAGUGCAGGCUGCAGGCGCAGAGCGCGCUGGCCACAGCCGCUCCUGCCGCCGCCGCCGCAGCCGCUCCCGCGGGCGGCGCGGCUGCCACCGUCACCGCCACGGCCAAUGCUGCCGCGGUCAAGUACGGCGGGCCGCUGGACGUGGCGAGGCACGUGCUGCGGUCGGAGGGCGGCGUGCGGGGCCUCUUCAAGGGCCUGGUCCCCACAAUGGCGCGCGAGAUCCCCGGCAACGCGCUCAUGUUCGGCGUCUACGAGGCCACGAAGCAGUUCAUUGCCGGCGGGCAGGACACGUCGGAGCUGGGCAGGGGCUCCCUGAUCCUCGCCGGCGGGGUCGCGGGGGCGGCGUUCUGGGGGUCCGUGUACCCGACCGACGUGGUGAAGAGCAAGCUCCAGGUGGACGACUUCAAGAACCCAAAGUACUCGGGCUCCAUGGACGCGUUCAAGAAGAUCCUCGCCGCCGACGGGGCCAGGGGUCUGUACAGGGGGUUCGGGCCGGCCAUGGCCCGCAGCGUCCCGGCCAACGGCGCCUGCUUCCUCGCCUACGAGGUGACCAGGUCCCUGCUCUAG
rnacentral:rRNA from 1 species